GCUUAUCUGUCAAAAUCGGCCGGUUACAUGUUUAUCUUUCGAAAGUAAAUCGCUAUAAUUUAAUAAUUGUUUCUCUUCAUAUUGGCAUAUUGUAGCAGUGAUGAUAGUGAUAUGGAAUUAUUUCAAAUGAUAAUGGAUUGUGAUGCAGAUAGUGAUAGUGAGGCCGAUAUCAUAUGGUUAGGAAAAUAAAGAUCGUCUGAAUUACAUGGCGAAGAUCAAUAAUUACGAAUUUGACUAUAGAUUUCUGAGCAAAGGUGUUGUGAAUGAAUUGAUUAAUUUAAUGAGACCAUAUUUGAGUGUAACGUCAAAAAGAUUCAAAUAUAGGAGAGGAAUUUAGAAAUAGAAAAAGAGUAUUUUGAAUGUGUAAUUUGUGUGCAAUGCAUCAUUGAUGUUUCAAAAUGUUGUUGCUUGAUGGCCUGGGUCUACUCAUGAUACAACUAUAAUUAACCAUUCCGAUUGAAAAGAUGCAUUGGUGUUUGUAAAAGAAGACUCCCUGUAUAUCAUUGAAAAGUAGAUUAAAACUAGAAAAUAUGCAAGCUGUUAUUAUAGCUGCCAUGCUGCAUAAUAUCGUCAGAAGUAUGAAUUUAGAAGAAUUAGAAUCAGAAAUUUCAGUCGCAGAUACAUUACAGGAAAAUAAUAUAAUUGUUCGUAACAAUUUUUCAAAACUUACAUCUGAAAUACAACUAUGUACUUAUAAAUAAUUGCUUCCAAAGAUAAUUUAUAAAAUAAACUCCAAAGAUAA